UUGGGAUAACGCUAGGAAACUGGUGCUAACACUGGAUAUGUGCUCCUGCUGCAUGGUGGGGGUUGGAAAGUUUCGGCGGUUGGGGAUGGACUCGCGGCUUAUCAGCUUGUUGGUGGGGUAGUGGCUUACCAAGGCUUUGACGGGUAGCCGGCCUGAGAGGGUGACCGGCCACAUUGGGACUGAGAUACGGCCCAG
rnacentral:rRNA from 1 species